AGUUCUGAAGUAGAUUUUACGUCGGAUUGCAAAUCCGAAAUUGGAGAUUAAACCCUCCCCGAGCUU
rnacentral:tRNA from 1 species